UUUUAUUUGUGUACGCUCACAAUAACAACAAAACCUUGUGCUUUAGUAAAAUUAAAUAAAUAAAAAACAGGGUGAGCUUUUAGAUGUCUCUCUGCGAGAAACGUCUCAAAUGAACUUAAACUCAGCGAAUAAUUGUACCUAAAAAGAAAGAAAUAUCUCAGUUCGAUAAUAAAUUCGUAGGUCUGUGAGAGGCGAUCCGCUGGAAUGUGUCGUUUCUGAAUUUGAUAUUUUAAGGAAUAGAAUACACUCCUGCAUUUAAAUGCAGCUGCAGGAGUUGCAGUUGUUUUUAUAACGUUUUAUUAAUCCGUCCAUUCUUUUUAGUUUCAAUUAUUUAGCUAAAUCGUGCCUUAAUAAUGGGAGCGAAAUUAUUCGGUGACUCACGUUUUACUAAAAUAAAGGAUAUAAUUCAUGAAACACGCAACAAUUUCUUAAUCAGUGUCUAAACAGGCUAUAUUUUUAUUAAGUAGUUAUCUGUCAAAUAAAGAACAGGUAACGAAUAACAAAGAAUGUGCGUGUCAAAAAUCCAUGCUGUUUUAUUAAAGGAGUUUAACAUAUAAAUAAAAAUGUAUUUGUGAUAAAUAUAGGCCUAAUAUGUGAGAAAAUUGACAUUUUGCAUAAAGAUAAAUGUGCUUUGAUGCAUUUGUUGGAUAACUUGUGGUUAAAGCACCACUCAGUGGUCAAAAGGUGCAAAUGCACUUUGCGACACGGCGGCGGCGGUAGAAACGCCGUUUUGGAUGGCCACCUACUGUAGCUUCUUAUAUUUUUCAGCAGAGACAGUACAGAGAUCAUAGAGAAGCUGGCAGAGAAAAUUGAUGAAAGCAGAGUAUCCUAUUUUAAUAUUAGUAGAAAACAUAUCUGGGAAAGUGCAAGACUCACAAUGUCCAUGAAGUCAUUCUGCCCAUCGAAGAGGAUUGAUGUCAAAUUUAUGGAUGACCUGGGGGCAAGUGAGGGAGCAAUAGAUUCUGGUGGGCCAAGGAGGGAGUUCCUCACUCUGCUUAUGGAGAACCUUAAACAGGGGGCAUUAUUUGUUGGUCCUGAUGAAGCCAAAUUCCUGAAUUUCAACAGUAGAUCAAUGCAGAAUGAUGAUUACUUCUAUGCUGGUGUUGCUAUUGCUCUCUCCAUUGUGCAUGGGGACCAGGACCACAGUUCAUUUCACCUAGCCUCUUUAAAGCACUGACGGCUAACCCUGAGGCCACAGUCAUUUCUGUUGAAGAGGUUACAGAUCCGAUGCUUUGCACCAACUUGCAAAGAGUACGUGCUGUUGUGGGCCGUGUGAUUCAUGUAAGUGAUGUCACAGAAACUGUUGAAUGCAGGGGCUCAUGUAUGGAGACACAGGCCUGUUACAUUGAGGAUUCUGGUGGAAAUAUCAAGCUUCAGCUCUGGGAUAAACUGAUUGGGAGGGUUGUUGUUGGGCAAACCUACAAGUGGUCGAAUCUUAGCACCAGGAUGUUUGGUGGCAAACUGUAUGUGACAACCACGCGCCACAGCGAAAUUGAAUUAAUGGAUCCAUUGCCUGGCUUGAAAAAGGAAAUCGACUUCCAUAUUGACGAAGGUGAGGUAAACAUAAGUGAGGGCAAGAUCACGUCUGUCGAGGUUGUGGUGUCCAGACGCUGUUGCAGAUGUCAAGCAUGGCAAGAGGAUUUUGAGGCGAAGGCCAAAUUUCAUAGAUGUGUACGUUGCAAAAGAUUGCAAAUUUUGCAGAUGUACGAAUCUACAGUCAGUGCUUCUCUGACACUAUCUGGAAAAUCUGAGGAAGAAUUGAUGGUGCCAAAUACAGUUGUCAAAAGGUAUGAUUUGUAUAUGUAUGUUAUUGUAAUUAUAAUUGUGUAGUGUUUUGAUACUGUCAUAAUUUACAUGUACAUAGGGAAAAAAAAAGUGUGCUGUAUGCCCAGUGUGUGUUAGGGAGUUUAACAUAAAAACAUCCAAAAAGUUUGGUGUUUUGGGACUGUUCAGCAGUGAAUAGAUUUUCAAAUUUCUUGCUACUUCAUUGGCAAGUACAUUGAUAUUAGGUCAAAUAAGAAUGUAUUUAUUUUGUUGUAUGAAGAAAUAGUACUUUCAUUUUUAUAAAUGGAAAGAUGAGUUUUAUUAGGUUGUGCACAAAGGUAAUUUCAACCUCAAAUCAAUAGGUUUAGAAAGACUGCUAGAUUUAAGUACAAAAUCAUUAUUUUAACCAUUAGUGUGGUACUAUUUAAGUUAUUUGUUUCACUGAGGAAUCACUUUAACUUAAAUUCACAAACUUUAUAAAUUUUAUUUUUUAUAGUAAACACUUUAACAAGGGUUUUUAGUUUUUGUCUUUUUUUAUUGUAAAAAUGUACAUGCAGUAAUGUAUUUUCUAAUUAGAGUUUAAUAUUGAAAUUGGAACUAUUAAAAUGCAACAUUUAUUAAAUAUGUAAAUUUAGAUUUUGGAGGGUUUAAUAGGUAAAUUUGUCUGAAGUAUAAAACUUUAGGAAUCUUUUUAUAAUGUAAAGAAACGUAUUUAUAAAACACUAUUUUGUCUAACUAAUAUAGCAUAAUCAGAUGCAGCUUUAUUUUUACUAAUAGUAAUAUAGAAGUUUGUCCAUCAUAGUAUGUUAAAAUGAAUUGCAUGCCAUUUAUCAAUGGGAGUUUGUAUAGUUGUAUAGUACUUAUUUUAUGAUCAUUAAUCAAUAAUUAAAGUGAUUGCUAAAUUAUAAUAAAAGAGAAUUGCUUGUAAUGCUGUAGUAUGAAUUUUGUUAAAUUUUAAAUUUGGAAUAUAAAAGUAGUGGUAUUUUAUAUGUAGCCUAAUUGUUGUACAAUUAGUAGUUAAUAUGCAAGUAAUAAAUUAUAAAUCAGUGGAAAGGCUGAACAUUUUAGAUAAAAAUAUUUUAAGAGAUUAUAAAUGUAUGUAGUUAAAUUAUGAUGUAUGCAAAGUCAAGUAGUGGGUUAGUGCAGUAGGGUACUUGUAAUGUAUUAUUUUUUGCAAGUUUUAGCUUCAGAGAAAAAUGCUAUUGUCAAAUAGGAAAUGUUUCUGUUAUAAUAAUCAAGGUUAAUCUUAUCUAUGUGUAGUUGUAGUGAUAUGUAUUGAUGUUUGCCACUAGGUUAUAAUAAAAUGUUAAGUGUUUUGUACAGAAAUUUUUAUAUUGUAUUUGAAAACUAAGGGUUUUUUUUUUAUUCAAUAAUGGUUAUGGGUCUUCAUUCAUGUAAACAGUAAUAUAUGUAAGUAAAGAGUUUGGUAUGUAAAGGAAAUGAGUUUGAGUUUAAUUGGAAUGAAGAGAUUUAUUUUAAAGUACUAUUAUCAUUUUUAUGUUUUUUUUUUUGUUUUGUUUUGUUUUUUUUUAGUUUGGCAGUCAUAAUUGUAAAUUAUAACAAUAUUGCAUAUGCAAAUAUUGCAAUGCAAGUACAUAGGGUUAAUGAAUGUAAUGAUCAAAAUUUGAUUAGCUGGUAUUGAGAUGAUGGUUAAAAUUCUAAUUACGGUUUAUGAAAGAAUUUAAAUGGAAGUUUUGGUUUUAUGUGUAGGUGUAAAAUGUUUUUUGCAAAUUUCUAUUUUUUUUUUUAAUUUUUUUUUAAUUCUUUAUUUUUGAAACAUUGGGAACAAUACAAUAGCCAAAUUGACAUAACCUCAUGGUCACAGUUCCAGUCUGUGAUCUAGAUCAAGGUUCUCUAUUCCCAACAUUCCCAUUUUUGUAAGUAUAAUAAGAACAUAUUAGAACACAAACAAAGGGUGCAUUACUAUAAUACAAAUCUCUAAUACAUAUAAAACAAAAGAUAACACAAUUAUUUUGUUAAUAAACGAUACAUACAAUACAGUACAAUAAAAUCAACCCUUGAUUACCAUUAUCUUUGCAACUUUCAGGACAACAUUCCUGCAUGUUGUGUUUGAUUAACAUAGGAUACCCAUUUUGACCAUAAGACUGAAAAUCUAUUCAUCUGCAAGCGGAGUGAGAAUGUUAGUCUUUCCAUCU